rnacentral:rRNA from 1 species
CCUACGGGGGGCAGCAGUGAGGAAUAUUGGUCAAUGGGCACGAGCCUGAACCAGCGAAGUAGCGUGAAGGAUGACUGCCCUACGGGUUGUAAACUUCUUUUAUAAAGGAAUAAAGUGAGGCUCGUGUGCCUUUUUGUAUGUACUUUAUGAAUAAGGAUCGGCUAACUCCGUGCCAGCAGCCGCGGUAAUACGGAGGAUCCGAGCGUUAUCCGGAUUUAUUGGGUUGAAAGGGAGCGUAGAUGGGUUGUUAAGUCAGUUGUGAAAGUCUGCGGCUCAACCGUAAAAUUGCAAUGGAUACUGGCAGCCUUGAGUACAGUUGAGGUAGGCGGAAUUCGUGGUGUAGCGGUGAAAUGCUUAGAUAUAACGAAGAACUCCGAUUGCGAAGGCAGCCUACUAAGCUGCCACUGACAUUGAUGCUCGAAAGUGUGGGUAUCAAACAGGAUUAGAUACCCGAGUAGUC